CCUGUUUCUACAACCUGUGGCGCACUUUGAUUAUCUCUCAGUAGUAAACGAUCUGACACUGUGGUUCGAGCGGAAACAGACUCGAUCAACUUACAACUGUACUUCACAACUGUGGUUGUGUGCUUGUCCAAUGGAUUGCAGCACUUGCAUCGCUCUCCAACCCAUCUGGCGACACCCUUGCUCACCGACCAUGGUUGAAAACGCAUGACGAGAUCUCCUCAAAGCUUCGCAAUCCCGGCCAGAGCUGAGGCCUAACAC